AACGAACGCUGGCGGCAUGCCUAACACAUGCAAGUCGAACGAGACCUUCGGGUCUAGUGGCGCACGGGUGCGUAACGCGUGGGAACCUGCCCUUAGGUUCGGAAUAACUCCCCGACAGGGGUGCUAAUACCGGAUAAUUUCUUCGGACCAAAGAUUUAUCGCCAUUGGAUGGGCACGCGUUGGAUUAGCUAGUUGGUAGGGUAAAAGCCUACCAAGGCGACGAUCCAUAGCUGGUCAGAGAGGAUGAGCAGCCACACUGGGACUGAGACACGGCCCAGACUACUACGGGAGGCAGCAGUAACGAAUAUUGGACAAUGGGCGAAAGCCUGAUCCAGCAAGGCCGCGUGAGUGAUGAAGGCCUUAGGGUUGUAAAGCUCUUUUACCCGGGAUGAUAAUGACAGUACCGGGAGAAUAAGCUCCGGCUAACUCCGUG
rnacentral:rRNA from 1 species